rnacentral:lncRNA from 1 species
GAUAGUUAGGAUUCCAGUCAGCCAAAUAUGAAGUAACUGCUCCAACAGUUACCAAUAUUUCAACUACUAUCAAAUUAGGAUAGUUAGGAUUAUCUUUUAAAGUAGGAUUGAAUAUAUUUUUGAAUAUCAGUUUCUUAUAGAUCAAAUGGGAGAUCUCAACUUAAAAGACAAAUUUGAUAGUGGGAGAACCUAUUUAGCCUAUAAAUCUAUUGGCAAUUCUCUAUUUAUCCGAUGAGGGACAAUUGACACAUAAUAUAUACCUUCAUGUACUACAAAUAGAGUUAGUUUAUGUUAUGUUUUGUUUUUAUCUUGGUUGAAUACAUCAAUAGCCAAAAACUUGCUAGUAAAUUUUAUUUAACUAUUUGAAUUAUGACUUAUUCCGAUUAAGCACCUGAUUUAUCAUGUUACUAUUGAUUCUUGAUUCUUGAUGUAUUUCUUUCAAUAAGAUAUGUGAGAUGAAUAAGCCUUUGUUAUUUAUGAAUAUUAUUGAAGGGUAUAAAAGAGAGGAAAAGGUGAACAAGAGAACUCCAUGUUGAGUCUUUUGUCUUUUUCUUCCUAUCACCAAAGAGAAGUAUCUUAGGAAGUUGGAGGUCGUCGUUUUAAAGUUCUCAGUGUUUGUGUUUUUUUUUUUUUUUUUUUUGUGGUGGUGGUGGGGGGUGGAGGUUCCUCCACCUCUCCCAUUGAACUACUGGUUGCAAUAUUAUUUUUUCGUUCCAUAGCUUAACUCUGGUAAAUUAUUGGCACCAAGAAUAGGGCCCCGGAGACACAAUUCCUAUCAAAGGUAGAGGCAGUGGAAGGAGUUGAAGAAAAGAGUAAAGAAAGCAGAAAAGAGCAAAGAUAAGAAGCAUGGAAAAGAAAGAAAGAGAAAAAUAUUACCAGAGAUAUUUUCCAUCUUAGCAAGGGAGCAAUGCAUUUGAAGGACUAGACUGAUGCUUUACAACUAAGGUGCACAUAAGAGGAAAAAGUAAACAAAAAGGGGAAAAACUAUUGCUACUGAACCCUUAGACUUAAUUCUACUUGGUGAAAAAUAAUAUAAUAAACCAGUUGCUUCUCUUUUGUAAGUUCAAAAGUUGGACCACAAAUGUUUUUCUAAGGGGUUAUAUUAAGAGAUUUGCUUUUCUCGUUUGUUGAAGGCUAGUGGUGAUUAUCGAAACCUUGAGGAAGAGGAGGAUCACAUAUGCUACUUAUUGUGGUUGAAUCCAAAUUUUUGCAUUCUAGUCGAGUAUUGAGGAACGGAUUGAAAUUUGCACUCGUAAAUCUGUGCAUCUCUUCAAAAUGUUAGAUAGUACCUCUGCGUUGUCUCCUUUUCCACCCUUCUCUCUUCUUUGUUUCAAAUAGAAGGAUAAAGAGACCCUUAGGUAAUAUUAUAUGAGAGUUACAAUGUGAGUGACCUUGUUCAAUACUUUUUUUGGUUGGAUGGAACCCACACUACUAGAAAAUAGACUUGUAGUAGUGACAAGCUAAAUGCCGCUAAUUUAAUUUAUAUAGGCGGAUAUUUCCAACAUUUGAGGCUAAUUUAGAGGCAAUUAAAUGCAAUGAUCAGAAUAACUCGGUACUAAUUCUCACUUCGCUCCAAAUUUUCCUCAGUGAAAUAUUCAUUCCCUCUAUGGAAGACACGAAAAGCUCUGGGAGCAUCUCCAGCAGCUUCUCCUAAGAGUUCUCCAGCACUGGUAGCAUCACCUCCAAUGAAGGGGACUCCUCCUCUUACUACAUCUAAACCACCUGUCUCUGCUCCCACCAACUGCCGAGACUCCGGCGUCGUCUCCUUGGGGUGCUUCACCACCAUGUAUCGCCGCUGCUCCCGGUGUUUCUCCUACCAAAUCUUCUAACUCUCCUAACAGAGCGCCAUCGCCGGAUCUGCAUCAUUUCUUGCAAUUUAUUAUAGUAUCAAUUUGUUUGUGAGCAUUUUCUUUGACUUAAUUUCUUCUGAAUUGUUCUUAACGUAACUAUUCGAUUAGGAAAAACUAUAUUGUAAUUUUUGAUGAAGUCACUACUGAUUUCAGUAAGACGAUAUGUAAGUCUCAAUCGCUUAAUUUCUACUGCUAUUUUUUUUUCAUGAGUUGUGAUUAAUUCACCACUUAUAUUUCAUGACUAAGCACAGAACAACUUAUUAUGCUCAUU